rnacentral:rRNA from 1 species
AUGGCUCAGGAUGAACGCUGGCGGCGUGCUUAACACAUGCAAGUCGAACGAAGCGCAUUGUUUGAAUUCUUCGGAAGGAAGAUAAUGUGACUGAGUGGCGGACGGGUGAGUAACGCGUGGGUAACCUGCCAUGUACAGGGGGACAACAGUUGGAAACGGCUGCUAAUACCGCAUAAGCGCACGAGAUUGCAUGAUCUAGUGUGAAAAACUCCGGUGGUAUAUGAUGGACCCGCGUCUGAUUAGCUAGUUGGUAAGGUAACGGCUUACCAAGGCGACGAUCAGUAGCCGACCUGAGAGGGUGACCGGCCACAUUGGGACUGAGACACGGCCCAGACUCCUACGGGAGGCAGCAGUGGGGAAUAUUGCACAAUGGGCGAAAGCCUGAUGCAGCGACGCCGCGUGAACGAAGAAGUAUUUCGGUAUGUAAAGUUCUAUCAGCAGGGAAGAAGAAAUGACGGUACCUGACUAAGAAGCCCCGGCUAACUACGUGCCAGCAGCCGCGGUAAACGUAGGGGGCAAGCGUUAUCCGGAUUUACUGGGUGUAAAGGGAGCGCAGGCGGCCCGGCAAGUCUGAUGUGAAAACCCAAGGCUCAACCAUGGGAUUGCAUUGGAAACUGUCGAGCUAGAGUAUCGGAGGGGUAAGUGGAAUUCCUAGUGUAGCGGUGAAAUGCGUAGAUAUUAGGAGGAACACCAGUGGCGAAGGCGGC